AGCCACCGUACUUAUGUCUCUGACGUCUGUUGCAGUUCAGCCAAUCACAUAUACACACUAUGCUGUGCGCGGGUUGUUGUUGUCAUGUGGCCAGGAUGCCAUCUCUGCAAGCUAUCUUUUAGCUGAGUGUUCAGUUAAUAAAGUGUGACGUUUUGCAACAUUGUGUGAUCCUUGACUCACACAAAGGAACAAGUUUCAACAGAUAUGAAUGAGUAGAUAGGACACGCCCCUUUGAGCUGCGUGCUACAGCGAGGCUAAGCUAGUGGGGGGAAAGUUUCAGUGCAUUUCGUUGAUGUACACGGCGUGAAAACGGAAACAACAAGUAUGCCGUCUCACUGUACUGCAUACAAUUACACACUGCGUCGUACGAUUGAGACAAGGAAACUUGGAAUGACUUUUCAUAGGUUUCCCAGAGACUAUGGGUUGAGGAGGAAUUGGAAGUUUGUCGGCUUAGACCUGGUGUCAUUCCAUCAGUGUUAAACUUCCCGGCUCAUCUUGGAAGAGUACGUGCCAGAAAGACCACGACCAAGCAGCCUUGAGAUCUUAGACAGCAUCUCCCUGAGACCAAAGAACUACAGACUCUUCACAACCUGCUCAAACUCUUGGUACAGGACCUCACCACACGGGUCAAGAAGGUUUCCGUCUCAUUUCUACUCUGAAGCUCACCUUCUCCUGCUCAAACUGCUGACAAAUGUUUCUGCUGCUCUAAAGUCUGCUCUCCAGAACUUCCUAAAAACUCUCAAAGUCUCUUCUGCUGCAGGUUGCUUUGUAGAACUGUUCCAGAAAACCUCACUAAACCACAUGGAGGGGCCUCAAGAUAGUCGUCCAAAUGAAACCAUACAAAAACCAAACUAGCACAACCCAAACACUAAAGUCUCCUGCAGCCUACCAGAGAACCUCUGAGAACAGAGAAUCAGGACAGGAACUCUUACCUUCUGGACAACCAGCAUUGGUUCACAAACAAGAAUACAGAAUGUGUCUGACCAAAAACCUCUGAAGACUCACUACAGCCAAGAUAAAGACACAACUCAGCUGCAGCAAAUCCACUAAUCACUGCACACAUUAGCACCAUGUGCUAACUGUGGCUAAAGAACCACAUUUACCAAGACAACUAUCCAGUACAAAGCCCUAAAACACACCAAGAAACACAUUAAAGACGAUUUUACUGCUGGAAGCUGCAAGCCAACACCUAAAGAACAAACUACAGCAAUGGAGCCAAACCCAGUUCACUGGUGAAGAGAAGCAGAGGAAAUGUUUGUCUGCAGCUAAAUAAAGCAGGAAGACACUGAGCUGCUCAGGUGUUCCUGAUAACACCAAGCAGCCACCUGGACAGCCAAUAGGAACACAGCUUACUGGAAGUCCAGAGGGCUGGGUUAGUGAAGGAAAUUUAGUUUAAAGUUGAGGCAGAAAGUUAACAAAGAAAGUUGAAAACCACCUUCUGAUACCUGAAAUCUCUGAGUUUUCACACAAAGAACACCUGAACAUGUCAAACUGGUUUCAUAGUAGAACCAUCAUUGUAAAAACGUCAUAGUAUGGUGUGUUGCUCAAAAAACAUUAGGACCCGGCUGUCAGGGGACAAACAUGUAAGAAACAUGAGAACAGAGAGAACCCAACCAGUAGGUCACAGUUUAUCAUCCCCCAGUCAUCUCCUGAAGUCCAUAUGGUGAGAGACAUCAGUAUCUGGUUGUUAAUUUACCAGAGGAUGCUUAUAAUCAUGCUGAUGUGGUCUGUACUCUACAGUAUUUUAGUGACUCAAUAAAUGCCUAAGUUGUUUUUUUUUUAAAUGCUUUUUAGUUUUUAAUAAACAUUUAAGAGCCUAUAUGUAAUCAAUAAAUGGCCUUUGCCUGUCUUAAGAAAAACUCACU